GUUUGUUUGAAGUUAUAAAGAAUUUGACCUGCCCCCUGAUUAACUAUUAAAGGGCCGCAGUAUUAUAACUGUGCAAAGGUAGCAUAAUCAUUAGGUUUUUAAUUGAAAUCUCGUAUGAAUGGUUGGACAAAAGAAAGACUCUCUUUAUAUUAAGUUUUGAAUUUAACUUUUAAGUGAAAAGGCUUAAAUAUUCUAAAGGGACGAUAAGACCCUAUAAAACUUUACAUUGUCAUUAAUUUUGAUUGAAUUUAUAAAAUAAGAAUUUUAUUUGAUCAUCUGUUAUGUUGGGGAGACACAAGUAAAAUAUUUUUUUAACUGCUUGAUAGUUAUACAAUUAUUAGUGAGUAAGUAGAAGAUCCUUUUUAAGAUUAGUAGAUUAAGUUACUUUAGGGAUAACAGUGUAAUUUCUUUUGAGAGUUCUUAUCGAAAAAGAAGGUUGCAACCUCGAUGUUGAAUUAAAAUAUCUAUAUAAUGGAGAGGUUAUAUAAGAAGGUCUGUUCGACCUUGAAAUUUUUACAUGAUUUGAGUUCAAACCGGUGUGAG
rnacentral:rRNA from 1 species